rnacentral:piRNA from 1 species
CCAGCACUUUGACGGCCACUGUAGCAGG